rnacentral:ncRNA from 1 species
ACUUGAAACAUGGGAAAAAUUACCAAGUCUUGACAUAGUAAGGAUUGAUAAAUGGAGAGCUCUUUCUCGAUUCUAUGGGUGGUAGUGCAUGAACAAAAUAGGAAGAUCUAUGUCAUUUGGAUAUGGGCC